rnacentral:rRNA from 1 species
ACCCCGAACAGGGGAGUGAAAUAGAACCUGAAACCAUACGCUUACAACCGGUCGGAGCAGCUUCGUGCUGUGACGGCGUGCCUAUUGAAUAAUGAGCCUACGAGUUACUAAUCACUGGCGAGGUUAAGUGCUAGGAAGCACGGAGCCGAAGCGAAAGCGAGUCUGAACAGGGCGGCUAGUCAGUGGUUGUAGACGCGAAACCUUGCGAUCUACCCUUGAGCAGGUUGAAGGUUGGGUAAAACCAACUGGAGGACCGAACGAAUAAGCGUUGAAAAGCUUCUCGAUGACUUGAGGGUAGGGGUGAAAGGCUAAUCAAGCUGGGAAAUAGCUCGUACUCCCCGAAAUGCCUUUUGGGGCAGCGUUGUAAUAAAGAGUCUACUGGAGGUAGAGCUACUGAUUGGAUGCGGGGGCUUCACCGCCUACCAAAUCCUGACAAACUCCGAAUGCCAGUAGUAUGAUUUACAGCAGUGAGCGACCGGGUGCUAAUGUCCGGUCACAAAAGAGGAACAACUCAGACCAGCAACUAAGGUCCCCAAGAAUAUGCUAAGUUGAUCUAACGAUGUUUUGUUGCAGAGACAGCUAGGAUGUUAGCUUGGAAGCAGCUAUUCAUUCAAAGAGUGCGUAACAGCUCACUAGUCGAGCGACAGAGCGUGGAUAAUAAACGGGCAUCAAGCAUAUCACCGAAGUUCUGGGCGCGAGAGCGCGGUAGGGGAGCAUUCCAUUCAGCGUCGAAGCAGUUUCGUGAGGAAUUGUGGAGCGUAUGGAAAAGCAAAUGUAGGCAUGAGUAACGAUAAUGCGGGAGAGUAACCCGCACACCGCAAGACCAAGGUUUCCUGAUCAACGCUAAUCGGAUCAGGGUUAGUCGGGUCCUAAGGGUAAGCCGAACGGUGAUCUCGAUGGACAAUCGGUUAAUAUUCCGAUACUAACAUAUACCUCGAUGGAGAGACGAAGGAACGUAAGUGCCGCCACCUGACGGAAUAGGUGGUUAAAGGGCGUAGAUAUAGGGGCAGAUUAAGAGUUAGUCCUUGCUGAAACCUGACAGUACAGAGAGCCUACGGGCAAUUUGAUAGAGCACCCAAGUCGACUUCCGAGAAAAUCUUCUAAGUUAUAGUAUAUGUUACCCGUACCGUAAACCGACACAGGUGGUCGAGGAGAGUAUCCUAAGGUGCUCGAGUGAAUCACGGUUAAGGAACUAGGCAAAUUAACCCCGUAACUUCGGGAAAAGGGGUCCCUAUGAAAGUAGGGCGCAGCGAAGAGGUCCAGGCGACUGUUUAUCAAAAACACAGGGCUCUGCAAAUUCGAAAGAAGACGUAUAGGGCCUGACACCUGCCCGGUGCUGGAAGGUUAAGAGGGGAUGUCAUCGCAAGAGAAGCAUUGAAUCGAAGCCCCAGUAAACGGCGGCCGUAACUAUAACGGUCCUAAGGUAGCGAAAUUCCUUGUCGGGUAAGUUCCGACCUGCACGAAUGGUGUAAUGAUCUGGACGCUGUCUCAACCGUGAGCUCAGUGAAAUUGUAGUAUCGGUGAAGAUGCCGAUUACCCGCGAUGGGACGAAAAGACCCCGUGAACCUUUACUAUAGCUUAACAUUGAAUUUGGGUAAUUGAUGUGUAGGAUAGGCCGGAGGCUUUGAAGCAGGUACGCCAGUAUUUGUGGAGCCGCUGUUGAAAUACGGCCCUUUGAUUAUUUGAGUUCUAACCCGUUGCUGCGGGGACACUGUUUGGUGGGUAGUUUGACUGGGGUGGUCGCCUCCAAAAGCGUAACGGAGGCUUCCCAAGGUACCCUCAGCACGAAUGGUAACCGUGCGCGGAGUGCAAUAGCAUAAGGGUGCUUGACUGUGAGACAUACAAGUCGACCAGGUACGAAAGUAGGGUAUAGUGAUCCGGUGGUUCUGCGUGGACUGGCCAUCGCUCAAAGGAUAAAAGGUACUCCGGGGAUAACAGGCUGAUCGCCGCCAAGAGCUCAUAUCGACGCGGCGGUUUGGCACCUCGAUGUCGGCUCGUCACAUCCUGGGGCUGGAGAAGGUCCCAAGGGUUCGGCUGUUCGCCGAUUAAAGUGGCACGCGAGCUGGGUUCAGAACGUCGUGAGACAGUUCGGUCUCUAUCUGUUGCGGGCGUAGGAAGAUUGAGGGGUCCUGACUUUAGUACGAGAGGACCGAGUUGGACGAACCUCCGGUGUAUCGGUUAUGCUGCCAAGUGUACUGCCGAGUAGCCGCGUUCGGUUUGGAUAAGCGCUGAAAGCAUCUAAGCGCGAAGCCAUCCCCAAGAUAAGUCUUCCCUUGA